rnacentral:rRNA from 1 species
CCUACGGGUGGCAGCAGUGGGGGAUAUUGCACAAUGGGGGGAACCCUGAUGCAGCGACGCCGCGUGGGUGAAGGAGCGUUUCGGCGCGUAAAGCCCUAUCGGCAGGGAAGAAAAAGGACGGUACCUGACUAAGAAGCCCCGGCUAACUACGUGCCAGCAGCCGCGGUAAUACGUAGGGGGCAAGCGUUAUCCGGAUUUACUGGGUGAAAAGGGGGCGCAGACGGCAGCGCAAGCCAGGGGUGAAAUCCAGGGACCCAACCCCGGACUGACUUUGGAACUGCCCGGCUGGAGUGCAGGAGUGGCAGGCGGAAUUCCUGGUGUAGCGGUGAAAUGCGUAGAUAUCAGGAGGAACACCGGUGGCGAAGGCGGCCUGCUGGAUUGCGACUGACGUUGAGGCCCGAAAGCGUGGGGAGCAAACAGGAUUAGAUACCCCGGUAGUC